rnacentral:lncRNA from 1 species
UUGAGGGAGAGUAGUACAUUGUUUUUUUUUUUUUUUUGAGAGAGAAAGAUAGCAUGCUAUCCGUUUCGUUUAUUUCAUUUAGAAAUAAACUUAGCUGGAAAUGUGAAUCAACUAGGAUUCAAACUUAGAUCUCGGAUACCAACCAUCAAGCCCUUUUGCCACUUACGCUAAGGACGGUCGGUAGAGUAGUACGUUGUUACUGUAUAUUAGUAAUUAUGUAUA